rnacentral:rRNA from 1 species
GACGAACGCUGGCGGCGUGCUUAACACAUGCAAGUCGAGCGGUAAGGCCCUUUCGGGAGUACACGAGCGGCGAACGGUGAGUAACACGUGGGUGACCUGCCCUCAGCUCUGGGAUAAGCCUGGGAAACCGGGUCUAAUACUGGAUAUGACUCCAUGACGCAUGUUGUGGGGUGGAAAGCCUUGUGCGGCUGAGGAUGGGCCCGCGGCCUAUCAGCUUGUUGGUGGGGUGAUGGCCUACCAACGGCGACGACGGGUAGCCGGCCUGAGAGGGCGACCGGCCACACUGGGACUGAGACACGGCCCAGACUCCUACGGGAGGC